UGAAAGAAGGUGAAAAUAAAACCAAGAAUGGCUUUAAAGAGGUACAGAGACUCUGGGACAGCAGCAAACAGAACUUGACAGAUGCAGAGAACCCAGAAAAGAGUCCAAGGCCCAAGAAGAUGGCAAUGCCUCACUAUGAAAGGAAGCUGGUUUGGUGAACAAAUGAAUAAAACAGUUCUUUCCACUCUAAAGUGAUCCAUAUUGGACUGUAACAUGAGCAAAACAUAAACUUUUAUGGUAUUAAGCUAAAGAAAUUUUGGGGAUUAUUUACUGGAGUAGUUAGCACUACUUAUCUUGACCAAUACAAUGGGCUUGAUGGGACAAAUAAAGAGUAUGUUUAGAAAUCAA